AUUGAACGCUGGCGGCAGGCUUAACACAUGCAAGUCGAGCGGGGUGAUGGUGCUUGCACUAUCACUUAGCGGCGGACGGGUGAGUAAUGCUUAGGAAUCUGCCUAUUAGUGGGGGACAACACCUCGAAAGGGAUGCUAAUACCGCAUACGUCCUACGGGAGAAAGCAGGGGAUCACUUGUGCCCUUGCGCUAAUAGAUGAGCCUAAGUCGGAUUAGCUAGUUGGUGGGGUAAAGGCCUACCAAGGCGACGAUCUGUAGCGGGUCUGAGAGGAUAUUCCGCCACACUGGGACUUAGACACGGCCCAGACUCCUACGGGAGGCAGCAGUGGGGAAUAUUGGAAAAUGGGGGGAACCCUGAUCCAGCCAUGCCGCGUGUGUGAAGAAGGCCUUAUGGUUGUAAAGCACUUUAAGCGAGGAGGAGGCUCUUUUGGUUAAUACCCAAGAUGAGUGGACGUUACUCGCAGAAUAAGCACCGGCUAACUCUGUGCCAGCCGCCGCCGUAA
rnacentral:rRNA from 1 species